CAAAGGUGAGCCAGUACAGGAUGGACCCGCGUCUGAUUAGCUAGUUGGUAAGGUAACGGCUUACCAAGGCGACGAUCAGUAGCCGACCUGAGAGGGUGAUCGGCCACAUUGGAACUGAGACACGGUCCAAACUCCUACGGGAGGCAGCAGUGGGGAAUAUUGCACAAUGGGCGAAAGCCUGAUGCAGCAACGCCGCGUGAGUGAUGAGGGCCUUCGGGUCGUAAAACUCUGUCCUCAAGGAAGAUAAUGACGGUACUUGAGGAGGAAGCCCCGGCUAACUACGUGCCAGCAGCCGCGGUAAUACGUAGGGGGCUAGCGUUAUCCGGAUUUACUGGGCGUAAAGGGUGCGUAGGCGGUCUUUCAAGUCAGGAGUGAAAGGCUACGGCUCAACCGUAGUAAGCUCUUGAAACUGGGAGACUUGAGUGCAGGAGAGGAGAGUGGAAUUCCUAGUGUAGCGGUGAAAUGCGUAGAUAUUAGGAGGAACACCAGUUGCGAAGGCGGCUCUCUGGACUGUAACUGACGCUGAGGCACGAAAGCGUGGGGAGCAAACAGGAUUAGAUACCCUGGUAGUCCACGCUGUAAACGAUGAGUACUAGGUGUCGGGGGUUACCCCCUUCG
rnacentral:rRNA from 1 species